rnacentral:rRNA from 1 species
UACAGAGGUCUCAAGCGUUGUUCGGAUUCAUUGGGCGUAAAGGGUGCGUAGGUGGCGCUGUAAGUCGGGUGUGAAAUUUCGGAGCUUAACUCCGAAACUGCAUUCGAUACUGCGGUGCUUGAGGACUGGAGAGGAGACUGGAAUUUACGGUGUAGCAGUGAAAUGCGUAGAUAUCGUAAGGAAGACCAGUGGCGAAGGCGAGUCUCUGGACAGCAACUGACGCUGAGGCACGAAGGCCAGGGGAGCAAACGGG